rnacentral:rRNA from 1 species
UGGGCGUAAAGAGCUCGUAGGUGGUUUGUCGCGUUGUUCGUGAAAUCUCACGGCUUAACUGUGAGCGUGCGGGCGAUACGGGCAGACUUGAGUACUGCAGGGGAGACUGGAAUUCCUGGUGUAGCGGUGGAAUGCGCAGAUAUCAGGAGGAACACCGGUGGCGAAGGCGGGUCUCUGGGCAGUAACUGACGCUGAGGAGCGAAAGCGUGGGGAGCGAACAGGAUUAGAUACCCUGGUAGUCCACGCCGUAAACGGUGGGUACUAGGUGUGGGUUUCCUUCCUUGGGAUCCGUGCCGUAGCUAACGCAUUAAGUACCCCGCCUGGGGAGUACGGCCGCAAGGCUAAAACUCAAAGAAAUUGACGGGGGCCCGCACAAGCGGCGGAGCAUGUGGAUUAAUUCGAUGCAACGCGAAGAACCUUACCUGGGUUUGACAUGCACAGGACGCCGGCAGAGAUGUCGGUUCCCUUGUGGCCUGUGUGCAGGUGGUGCAUGGCUGUCGUCAGCUCGUGUCGUGAGAUGUUGGGUUAAGUCCCGCAACGAGCGCAACCCUUGUCUCAUGUUGCCAGCGGGUAAUGCCGGGGACUCGUGAGAGACUGCCGGGGUCAACUCGGAGGAAGGUGGGGAUGACGUCAAGUCAUCAUGCCCCUUAUGUCCAGGGCUUCACACAUGCUACAAUGGCCGGUACAAAGGGCUGCGAUGCCGCGAGGUUAAGCGAAUCCUUUUAAGCCGGUCUCAGUUCGGAUCGGGGUCUGCAACUCGACCCCGUGAAGUCGGAGUCGCUAGUAAUCGCAGAU